rnacentral:tRNA from 1 species
AUCUAAAUAGUUUAUUAAAAUAUUGAUUUGUGGAAUCAAAGAUAUAGUUAUUAUUUUAGAUA